rnacentral:lncRNA from 1 species
GUUUUAUUGACCUGGUAUGUGCACACGGGUCACAGGGUGGCUGCAUAUAACUUUACCCGCUCAGCUUUUCUUGGGUGUCACAGCUGAGCAGGGUGAUUAGCAAGCCAGCCUCGAAAAAGCAGCACAGUGGAGAAACGCAGCAGACUGGCGUCUCAUCCUGGACACAUGGGAGUGGGGCUCAGCUGGAAGCUGGCCAGGGCCCUCUAUCUGCAGCUGCAGAUCUUUAGGCGGUCAUCUUCUGGGUUGCACUGGUCUCCUAGAACCUCCAGGAAGCAGACUUUACAGAGUAAUCACCGAAGGACUUUAAUCUGCUCCUUGAGCCUGUACUACUGAGCUUUCGCUUUGCUGGACAUAGUCCCUGACACCCAUAACCGAAGGGAGGAGAAGUUAAUUUGUUCAGAGAUUCGGUCCAUGGUCAGCUGGCUCCAAGGCAGGAGCAUCAUGGCGGAAGGGCAUGGUGGAGCAAAGUUGCUCAGCUCAUGUUGGCCAGGAAGUGGAGCAGGGAGCAGCUCCAGAGAAGAAGGGGUGAGUGCCAUAUAGUGGACCCCAGGCCGCACCUUCAUGACCCACAGAGACCCAC